rnacentral:lncRNA from 10 species
GUAUGUUUGUGAGACUGUGUGUGUGUGUGUGUGUGUGUGUGUGUGUGUCAAAUAAAUUGCUUGGCAGCUUAAAUUCAUCAGAGAUUAUUUGUGUUUUUAGAGUAAAGAAUUCUGAUUAACAAGAAAAAAAUAUGUUACCAUGAGUGGGUUGCAGAGGUGACAUUGGAGUGGCUACCAUGAUACACAGGGGGUGCAGGGUUGUACGCUGAGUAGCUUAACCUUAAACAAUCUUGGUAAAUAAGAAGGAAUCUGGAAUUGCUCAUCUUGCUUAUUUAGAGCUGAAAAGAAACAAAAAUCUGUCUAGCAUUCUGGGAGGAGAAACUCAAUACCCAGCAUGAAACUGCACAUCUACGAUUCAUAUUUCACCUACAGUAAUCUGGAACAAAGAGGCCAUUGAAGGCACUGAGAAACUGAGAAACUGCCAUGUAACAAUACGCCAGGAACAAGGCGUUCCAAGGACUGCGGGGUGAGCAGAUGCUUCUCAUGGCACUGGAUAGUUUAAAGAAAAACAACGAGCAGCAGCCUAAAUCCCUAAAUACUUAGCUCAAGCCAUAGACUGAAACCCAGGAAAUUUCUGCAACUAAGCUAAACAAUUAUUUAUCAUUUUCAGGAGCAGAACUGAGAUGGGAGGCAAAUGUACAUUUGAGAUUGCAAUGAGAAAACUGAAAGUGACAUAGAUCGUAUUUAUUGCUCAAGGUCACCAACACAGAAGAAGCUAAAAAGUGGCUGAGUCAGCUUCAGCAGCUUCAUAUUCACUUUCCACAGUUACGCUUCCCUGUUGCCUCAGUCUCAGCUAGUCCACUACAGACCAUCUUGGGUUGACACUAUUUGUAUCUAUGGCUUAUUUCCAUUACUAAAUUAUGAGAUCCCAGGAUUUCAAAACUCUUCUUCUACUGGUUGUUAUCUGAAACAAAAAGGCCAACCAGGAACUAGAGAAGACAAAAAACUGCUUUUCAUCGGACCUUGAUGAACUAAAGAAAUACUAACAUUCUCAAGGGAAAAACUACAUGGAGAGAUUUCAAGACUAUAAAGAUUCAGAGAAUUGUCUUAACUUUCAGAAGCUAUGCCAAAGAAAUCUGAAUCUUUGGCAUGUCACUUUUGAUGACACAUGUCGACUUUCAUAGGGUCAUGAGAUAAAUAGUAACCUGAACCACUUGCUUCCAAAGCUUCUACUUCCUCUGAAGGCUGACAUGGUGUGUCUUAUGAAGUCACAAGUCCCGUUAUACCUGCAGCAAUCAAUACUGCAAUUAAAGGGAACUAGUACCUGAAGGAAUUGAUCAAACAAGUCCAAACCUAUCAUCCUCUCCAGUCACUAUACAUUUGAAACAAUAAAAUUACACAGUAAAUAUACUGCACACACACACAAAAAUUCCUAAGAGGAUUGGGUCAUAAAGAUACAAAUCAAAAAAUAAAUAAGGCUUUAUACAAAUUUUAAAAUGUUAAAGUAGCAAUUUGUAGAGGUAAAAAAAUUAAACAUUACUCCCAGUUAACAAUGUCCACUCCUUUCAGAUUUUACUCAUUCAGUAGAUUCAACACAGAAGUCACACUAUGCUUCACACUUUUACAUUUUUGUCAAUAAGAUUAAGAUAUCAAUGGCAAGCUAACAUAAGAUCAGCAUUUCUAGCUGAAUGAGAGAAGGUCCUUGAUUCGCCUGUACAAAUUCAAUAGCAACUCAUUAGCUCUAACUAUGACUUAUUACUUUGUUUCUUAGAGGAUAAUGUCUCAAUAUUUUGCCUUGUUAAAUAAGGCAAAUGAUUUUAUGUAACCUUAGAUUUGAAGUUAAUCUUAAAUAUGGUUGCAGAAAGAGCUUGAGGGGGCACUCCAAAGGAAUCCCAGAAUUUGAGGACAAAGUCAGAUAAAGGUUACCCUCUGAAAAUGAAAGUUUAAAAAUCAUAACAUUUCAAUAUCAGGUGUAAUUAAAAUAUAUUGAGCACAUACCAUGUUACAUACAUGUGUCCUCAUAUUGAUUCUCUCAUUCAUGAAUUCUACUAUUAUUUAGUGAGCUAUGUUAGAUACAAGUGACAGAAACAACUCAAGCUUGCUUAAACAAAAAAAGGGAUUUAAAGAAAUGUGGGAGAGAGGUCCUAUGGUACCUAAAUAGGUUUGCAGAUGGACCUCAGAAAUUACCUAGAAUAAAGGAAAUGUAAACUAUUAAAAGUUUUUUUUUCUUUUCUCAAUGUUGUUUCUUUUUGCAUAGCUUCAUUAUUCUUCUGUCAGAUUCUUUAUCUGUUUGGAAUGUUAGGGCCACAACAUAGCUUCAGAUUUCACAUGGUAAAUGUUAUGCAUAAGCAAAGGGUCACUUCUGUCUCAUUCCCAACUCCAAAAUCCCAAUGAAAGGAGAACCUAGUUGGAGCCUGUUGUGCCAGGUGUCUAAUUCAACUUAAUCACCAAUGCCUGGGAGGCAACAUUAUAAGACUACCAUGAAUUACUUCUGGUGAAGAGGAGCAAAACCAUUAUAAAUUUGAAAAAUAACCCAAUCUAUAUUAAUGCAUGUGGCCAUCUAUAGCAGUAAUUUCUCCAAACAAUCAGUGCAUUGUACUUAAUUCAAUCAAGGAGAUCAAACACACCUCAGUUUCCUGGAAAAUUAUAAACCACUCUGCUCUUUUGUAGUGUAUCUGAAGUGAUAUCCUUAUUUUAUGUCAGAAAAGCCAUGAUCUUGCAUGGAGCAUAAAAAAAAGAUAGCUUAUACAUUAAAAAUGAGUCAAUGCUAACCAGCAUUGUCUAAGAGCAAAUGGCUGUCAGGAAUAUUCAAGUAACUAAACAGAUGUGUAUUAUAUAGAUAAAUCUCCUGCAUUUCCUCCAUCCUGGGUGAAAUAUUUCUCAAUACCAUUCAACUAUCUUUACACUAUUUUCACCCUUACUAGUCAUUUAACUUACUAGUUCAGUUUUCCUGGUAGUGUUAAUAAGAAACAUUUUGACCUGCACAGUAGACAUUAGGUUUCUUACUAUGACUGGAAUAUAAUCCCUACUGUAAACAAAUCUCCAUCCGACUUACAAAUGAGUAAUACAUGAUUAGUUACCAUGAGCCAGUGCCUUAAAACUGAACGCCCCUGCAUGAACCAAUUUUUAAAGCAUUGAUCCUUUCAUGUAAAAGUAUAUGUUCAAUCACAGAAAAAGGAAAACGCAGUCUCAAGUUCAAAGAAAUGCCUCUCAUCUAGUUAAUCCAGGCAGAUCACAAUGAUUUAACAUUUAUUGAAGGUGUAAAAAAAUCAGUUUCUUGCAAUGACAAAUUCACA